UUGAUUCAUUUUCGAAACGCCCACUAGGGGCGCCGAGAAGGCUCAGAUAUAAAAAACCCGCGAGGGGGUAUACAAAAGAGUUUUGGGUUGGUCCUCCGGCGGGCGCCUUGGUCCGGGGCUGCGACGCACCCGGGGCGUGACCCCGCCGAGGCAACAGUUUGGUAACGUUCACAUUGGGUUUGGGAGUUGUAAACUCGGUAAUGAUCCCUCCGCUGGUUCACCAACGGAGA
rnacentral:misc_RNA from 1 species